rnacentral:lncRNA from 1 species
AGGAAGAUAAAUUGCUCAGCUGGCUUUUGCACUUGAGCAAUAAUCUCAGAUUUUUCAUUACCGUAUGAAAACCAAUUUCUUCUUUCCCAGCAAACAUACGAGCACUUCUGAGCUCCAAGUUUUGCUUUCGAACGGGGAAUCCUAAAGCACUGUUGGCGUUUUGAUGUAGUGGUGGAUGAUUUAACCUGAGCUAGUCAUACUGGAGAACACACCUUCUUUUCUACAUCACGUCCUCUUUGCUAAAGUAUCACGGAAUUCUCCAUUAAGUUCUCCACUAAGAGAUUGCAUCAGCAAUGUCUUCCUCAUUUGCAGACCAUAUGCUUUGUUUAAUCAUAAAACACACUCAAUUUCCAUAAUGACACUGCAAGAUCUUUAGCCUUUCUUUGCUAAUACUCUGGUAUCAAACUGCUUUUAAGCCCACAUGGACGACUGCUAUUGAUUGCAUUGUUCUCUUUGUUUACCUGAUGACUAAUUCUGAAUUCUGUUGGUUUGCUGUACUAGUUUCUUAAUUCAAUUUGAUUGGCAAAAGUUAAUAACAAGUUGCCUCGUUACUGCUUUGACAUAGCAAUAAUGUGUACCUCAGAGACACAAAGGCGCAGUCUGUGGGCUCUCCUUAGUCCUUUCUCCCCCCCGCACUCAAGAAAAAGGUAUCUUCCCUUGAACAAUGGAAAGCCGAUGAUUUUGUCCGUGCUUGAUGCGAAUCUACUAAAAACUAGGGGUGGUGGAGCUCUGUGGUUCCUCUUCAUGAUUACAUCAUAUUAGAAUAAUCUGCUAGAGAGAACAGUAAAAGUGACUCUUUUAAGUUUGAGCGACACAAUUGAAAGUAGGGAUGGCAAUAGGGUGAGGUUAGGAGCAGGGACAGUUCUCUCACCUCAUAUUUAAACCCUUGCUUCCAGUACCCUGCCUCCUGGCCAUAGCUUCAUGUGUGCCCUGCGAUUGGCUAAUUAUAGUUUUAUUUUUUAUUUUGACAUUAUUUAUUUAUCUACGCGUAUAACAUCAAUAACAGUUUUGUAAAUCAUUCUUUUAGAUUUUUGGCAAAAUAUUCAAUGUGAGCUUAAUAAUCAUUUUGAUCUUUUGAAUUCAUUUCUUCACAUUUAGUUGCAAAUCUAAACUUAUAACUAUCAUAUUUAUUUUUAUUUUUUUGGUGAAUAAUUUGCAAUAUGUGAAAAGAUUCAAGUAAACUAGAAAUAGUUAAAUCAUCAUUUCAUCAUGCAAAUUAUGAUAUUUUUAGUUAUAAAAUUAUUAUGUAUAUGCCUAUAUUAUUGAUGUGUAAUAACAAUAUACGUGCGCCUGCGCGCGCGCGCGCACACACACACAUAUAUAUAUAUAUAUAUGUGUGUGUAUGUAUAAAACUAUAUAUAAAUAUUUAUUUUUUUAAAAAAUUUAUUAUACCCCGCUCCAUACUGCCCCAUUUGAAACGGGGAAAGAAAAUUCCCCCCCCCCCCAACCCGACCCAUUGCUUCCCCGCGAGACAGGCACCCCCUAAUUGAAAGUGAAAGCACUGCAGUAAGAAAAGUUUCUCUGCACAAGUGGCCAGUGGCAUAUUUAUUACUACUAAUCAAUAGGGUCAUACUCAUACAUAUAAGUUGCAAAUGUACAGUGCUAUCCACUCAACAGUUUUUAGUAGUACAGCACAUACAACUUGUACUUUGGGUCAUUCCAUUCACAAGUCCUAACGAAACCAAUUCAUGACAUAAUGCUAUGUAUAUGGUCCUUUGCACGAUGUAGUAGUAUUCAAACUAUGCAAGGUGUUUUUGGAAUUAGUUAGUGGUAUUGAUUUUAGCAAAUUCCAGUGCUUUCUUCCCCCGCAGCUUGUUGGUUACAUAGUUCUUGCUGUACUCUCCAUGGUUGUAUCUUCUGUACUUGCAGGGCUCGUUCUCAUCCACCAGUUCUGGCAUUGGUCCAACUUCUAGAUCAUAACUAGGUGCAUAAAAUGUGACAAUUGAGAGUCUGUCUUUUUCUCUGUGAGUGACUGCUCUGUGUUCUACACUCUUGUAUCUGCCAUUUGUUAGAACCUGUUUAAUUACAAAAGAAUGGCACAUUAGAUUUGUAAAUCAAUAAGUAAAACUAAAAGAAAAGGACAUGAUAUGAUCACAAUCUUUUACCUCUAUGGUGUCACCAAUAUUGAUUACUAAUGCAUUGGGAAUUGGCUGGACAGGUACCCAGGUAUUGUCUUUGAAUAUCUGAAGGCCAACUGAACUACCCUUUCCUUGUUGCAACACUGUAAGGGCACUUCCAUCUGAAUGAGGACUCAAACCCAAAACAAGAUCAGGUCUAGGGCAUGCUGGAUAAUAGUUCAUUCUCACUGCUUGUACAGCUGCUCCGAACAUGUCUUCGAAGACAUUCUCAUCCAGAGAUAGACCGAUGGCUAUGUACUUUAGCAAAUUCUUGCAUAGUUUCCUUAUCUCUCUGGAAUAUGCUUCCAGAGUCUCACUGAAAACAGAACAAGAUAAAUCUUAUCACCCGUUCUGAGAUUAGAUUAAAUUCAGGGCUUAAAGCUUUUUGUUCAUGAAGUAAUGCAGUUACCUAAAGGUGGCUGGCUUUGUAGGCCACAGGUUUGGAUUUCUUAUAAAAUGGGGCUCCAGUCCAAGAGCAAACAUGUUGCACCAGUCUAGCUUCUGGUCCUCCGAGAAAACGAAAGCCUGCCCAUAUCCUUGAACAGUUCCAGGUAGCAUUGGAUACUUCUGUUUCUCCUCCAACGGCAGCAUGAAGAAUUCCAUGGCCACCUUUUCUAAGCUUUCGACUAAGGAUAAGUUAACUCCAUGGUUUAUCACCUAUACAAGUCAAAAUGGUUAUUAGCCCCUGUUAUAAAUAAAAUGAACAAAAACAAGGUAGAGAUUCAUGAUACAUAGAUACCUGGAAAAAUCCCCAGUCUUCACAGGAUGCUGAGAGCUGUAGCAACUCAGCUCGGAAUUCAUCUUUACUGCCUUUUUGGAGAUUUGAUAAAUCAAUGACAGGAAUAUUCUUGCAAGGAGUAGGAUUGGUCAUGAAAAGUCUCGGCCUUUCUAUCCCGUCUCGGACAAAUCUCUGAGGAAUGCGUGAUGGUAUGGUCUUCCUCAGUUCUUGGACAUCAUCAAUGUGGCCAACACUAAUGGGAGAAACUGGUACAGGAGCCAUGGUACUAUUGUUUGGAGGGGACUAACUUAUCUUUGCUAGGUACCUUGUAGUAUUGAACUUUGCAAUGCCAAUUAUUUAUAGGGAGAACAAGCAAGAAAAUUCAUGGAUCUUUAAUGCGCAUAGAAUUGUAUCGUGGGGCCAAGCCAACGCACUUUAUGAAAUUUAGGGCCUGUUUGGAACCCAGUAUUUUGGACAAGUUUUUUACCUACUAAUUUUUUAACAACUUUUGCUACAGGAAUCCAAAAAAACUUCUCAAAAUUUUUUACCUACACAUCUCAAAAUACCCAAAACACACCAAAAAAAAUUCCCAUCCUUUUUUUCCUUCUUCCUCCCCCAUCCCAACCCAACACCACUGCCGAUUCCCAAAACACGCCACCGCUGUUUCGUCCCCCAUCCUGCGAGUGCGUUGCGGCUGGGUCGUGAGCCCGGGCUGCUUCUGGUGCACUGUGGAGAAGAGGAAAGGCUGAGCCUGGGCUACGUCUGGUCACGAGCCUGGGCCUGCCAUCAUGCGGCUGGGCUGCAGGGAAAGGGCAAGGCAAAGGGCAGAGGAAAGGGAGGGCAAAGGGUGACGGGCGGGAGAAGGGGGAAAGACGGCGCAAAGGGGUGGCGGGGGAGGGCAGUGGGCGGGGGAAGGGGGAAAGGGAAGGCAGAGGGGUGGCCGGGGAGGGCAGUGGACAGGGGAAGGGGGAAAGAGAGGGCAGUGCGGUGGCGGGGAGGAAAGGCAGUGGCCGGGAAGGGGGAAAGGAAGGGCAGAGGGGUGGCGGAGGGCAGUGGGCAGGGAAGGGGGAAAAAGGCAGUGGUGGCAGGGGAGGGGGAGGGGGAAAGGAGGGCAGAGGGGUGGCCGGGAGGGCAGUAGGCGGGGGAAGGGGGAAAGAGAGGGUAGUGUGGUGGUAGGGGAGGGGAGGGCGGUGGCGGGGGAGGGGGGAAAGGGAGUUUGAUACACGUGAACGGGGUUACGUAAGUUUAGGGGCUGCAUGUGCGUGCAUGGGGUUUGCAUGGAGGGCCACAGCUGGGUUUUGUUGCAGUUAGUUACUGAAAGUUGUUACAGUUAGUUAGUACUGAUUUGUAAGAUUCUUAUGACAUCAGCAGAUGUCAUAAGUUUGUUAGCCGGUUAUAAGCUCACCGUCUUAGCACUUAUAAAAGGCGAAGAUGGGCACCAGUAGAAGACAGACAAAAUCUGGGAAAUUUGUUAUAUCGGCACUUUCCAUUUCUUCUGUAAUCUUUCCUUCUUUAUUCAAGUCAAUAAAGUUCUCUUGGCUUUCGGAUUACUUCUCCGCCAGUUUUUGUAAUUCCUAAGUCAGAGAUUGAGGACCUCUACUGUCCUUUGCAUCAGUGGUAUCAGAGCUGGGUUACGCCAGCUCCAAUCAUCGAUGGCAGAGGGCACUAGGUCUCAGGAUGUCAGGAAAAUGGAGGAACAAGUCAGAGCUUUGCUGAAGGAGCAGCAGGAGCAAUUUGAGAGGGAAAUGGCGGCUCUGCGGAAUUUGGUGAUCGAGCUUCACACACAGAAGGCUCAGGGCGAGGGGAACAGCUCUCCUCACCAUUCGGAUACUCCAACAAGUAGCAGGGGAGGAUAUCAAGUUCCUUCGCGACUGUCACGUAUUGACUUCCCGAAAUUCAACGGGGAGGACUUCCGAGGAUGGUUGUACAAGAGCGAGCAGUUUUUUGAAGUGGAUGGCACUCCUGGCUCAGUCAAGGUCAAAAUAGCGGCCAUGAAUUUGGAAGGUAAGGCUCUUCAAUGGCACCAAAUUUUCAUGAAAUCUAGGCUUACUCGUGAACCCCCUGUGUGGGAAGAAUACGUAAGGGAGCUGUCCUCAAGGUUUGGCGAUUCCCUGUACGACGAUCCAAUGGGCGAAUUGAAGAGCUUGAAGCAGUCUGGGACAGUACAAGACUACCACGAUCUGUUUGAAGAACUACUCAACAGAGUGGACCUCCCAGAAGAUUACGCUACAAGUUGUUUUCUGAGCGGGUUGAAGCCCGAAAUCCAGUUGACUGUACGGAUGUUCAUGCCUAAAAGUGUGCAACAUGCCAGAAUUCUGGCCAAGAUCGAAGAAGCAAAGAUAUCAGUACAAUCGAAUGGAAAGGUGACACCCAAACCUUUCACGAAUUAUUAUGAUCGCACUGGUACCACACCAAUCCAUGUGAAUGCUCUUAAGCCUAAAUGGAAGACGGACUCUAAGGCAGUGCUGCCCCUGCCUACGUUUCCAGCACUCCCUAGCAAUGAAAGACAAAAGGAGCUAGUUGUUAGGAGGCCUUUCAGGAAAUUGAGUAGGGCAGAAAUGGAUGAAAAAAGGGCACGAGGACUUUGUUUCUGGUGCGAUGAGAGGUUUACUGCUGGGCAUAGGUGCGGGAGUAAGCAAUUCCACCGACUGGAGGUUUGGGAUGAUGAAUCAGAUAAGGAUGAGACGGAAACAGAUGAGGAAGGGGGUACGGUCGAUGAGGGACAGUUAGCUCAUAUUUCCCUCAAUGCCAUGACUAACAUGACUGUUCCUAAUUUCAGGACAAUGAGGGUCACUGGGCAUGUGGGAAGGCAGUCUGUGAACAUUUUCAUAGACUGUGGUAGCUCACAUAAUUUUAUCCACCCCAAGGUUGCACAAAAGCUGGGAUUAAGUACACGGCAGGUUGACCCCCUAAUUGUAGAAGUAGCAGACGGAAACAAGUUGACUACUCGUGAACUCUGUUCAGGCUUCACCUGGAAAAUGCAGGGGCAAGAGUUUAAGGCCGACUUGUUGGUACUACCUGUGGGUGGAUGCGAAGUAGUAUUGGGAAUGCAGUGGUUAACCACCAUUGGGGACGUGAAAUGGAACUUUAGGGAUCUCAGGAUGGAGUUCUUGUCGGAUGGCCACAAGGUGGUCUUGAGGGGAAUGAAGCAACAUGGGCUACAGUUGGUGAAACAGAGAAAAAUGCAGAGGCUACUCCAAAAGCCUGAACAAAUUGCAGGAGCUCAAAUCUGCCUAAUCAGGAUGAUCCAAGAGCCGGAGCCAGAACCAUUACCUCUUUCUAGUAUUGCUGUAGGAACCAGUGGUGAGCAGGUUAGUCAAUCGUUGGGUCUGGAUUCUUUGUUAAAUGAAUAUGAUGAUUUGUUUCAAGAACCAAAUGGCUUACCUCCUGAAAGAUUGCAUGAUCAUAGAAUUGUUUUAAAAGAAGGUACGGAACCUAUCAAUGUAAGACCUUAUAGGUAUCCGGCCUUCCAGAAGGGAGAAAUUGAAAAAUUGAUCGCUGAAAUGCUUGUGUGUGGGCUCAUCAGAGCUAGCUCUAGUCCAUUCUCUUCACCAGUAGUUUUGGUGAAAAAGAAGGAUGGGUCCUGGCGAAUGUGUGUUGACUAUAGGCAGCUAAACAAUGCCACAAUAAAGAAUAAAUUUCCCAUUCCUUUAAUAGAAGAGUUGUUGGAUGAACUUUUUGGAGCUAAGUUCUUCACCAAAUUAGAUUUGAGGUCUGGUUAUCACCAGAUUAGAAUGAAAACUGAAGAUGUGGAGAAGACAGCCUUUAGAACUCACGAUGGCCACUAUGAGUUUCUAGUUAUGCCCUUUGGGCUAACUAAUGCUCCUUCAACAUUUCAAGGUCUAAUGAAUGACAUUUUUAGGCCAUUCUUGCGGAAGUUUAUUUUGGUUUUCUUUGAUGACAUUUUGGUAUACAGUGGCGGUUGGGAGGAGCACCUGCAGCAUCUGAGUGUGGUGUUUGAACUACUGAGAAGUCAUGAACUGAAGGUAAAAAGAAGUAAAUGUGCUUUUGCUCAGCAGCAAAUUGACUAUUUGGGGCAUAUUAUCAAUGCAGAAGGCGUCCAAGCUGAUCCCAAGAAAACUGAUGCCAUUCGGAGUUGGCCACUGCCGCAGACAGUCAAGGAAUUGAGAGGAUUUCUGGGUCUCACUGGGUAUUAUAGGAGGUUCAUACGAGAUUAUGGUAAAAUUACAAAGCCUUUAACUGACUUGCUUAAAAAGAAUCAGUUUCAGUGGCACGAUGGAGCUACUCAAGCUUUUAAGAAGUUGCAGGAAGUUAUGAGUAGCCCCCCUGUCCUAGCUCUGCCAGAUUUUAGCCAGGAAUUCAUCGUGGAGACAGAUGCAUCUGGGAAUGGGAUUGGGGCGGUGUUAAUGCAAAAAAGGAAACCGCUAGCUUUCUUCAGCAAGUCAUUGGGGUCCAAGCAUCAAGCUCUAUCAGUAUACGAAAAGGAAAUGUUAGCCAUAGUCACUGCCAUUUUGAAGUGGAGAGCUUACUUGGUGGGAAGGCAUUUCGUCAUUAAAACGGACCAUCAGAGCUUGAAGUACAUUAUUGAACAAAGGGUACAUACACCACUGCAACAGAAAUGGAUAGCCAAGCUGAUGGGGUAUGACUAUGAAAUACAAUAUAAGAAGGGGAGUGACAACGUUGUGGCAGAUGCAUUAUCCAGGCAACCUCAGGAGGGCAGUUCUCUAUGUACCAUGGUCACUAUCACAACGUCCUUGAUCAGGGACAUACAGCAGAGUUGGCAACAGGAUGCAGUAGUUCAGGACUUGAUCCAGAGGUUAGCCAAUAAUGGUCCGUGCUCGAGCAACUACUCGUGGCACCAGGGAGUGUUAAAGAGGAAGGGAAAACUGGUGGUUGGCAAUGACCCGUCUUUAAGGGGCAGAUUGAUUACCUUGUGGCAUUCGAGCUCACAAGGGGGGCAUUCUGGAAUUGAGGUAACGUACAGGAGGCUUAAGCAGAUCUUGUACUGGCCAUUCAUGUUCAAGGAUGUGGCUCAUUUUGUAGCAGCAUGCGACAUCUGCCAAAGAAAUAAACCAGAUAAUGUAGCUUAUCCGGGCUUAUUACAACCUCUACCCAUACCUCAGAGGAUCUGGUCUGACAUCUCUAUGGAUUUUAUCGAAGGCUUACCUCUCUCACAUGGCAAGAAGGUGAUUUUCGUGGUGGUCGAUAGGCUCAGUAAAUAUGCCCACUUCAUGGCCGUAGCUCAUCCUUACACAGCCAUCUCCAUUGCACAGCUCUUCAUGGACCAGGUUUACAGGUUGCAUGGUCUUCCCCAGACCAUUGUUAGUGAUCGAGACCCCAUCUUUCUAAGCUCCUUCUGGCGAGAAAUUUUCAGGUUGCAGCAGGUUCAGUUGAACAUGUCUUCUUCUUAUCACCCUCAGAGCGACGGUCAGACAGAGGUAGUCAACAGAUGUCUGGAGAACUAUUUAAGAUGUAUGACGGGUGACCAUCCCAGAGAAUGGAGUUCGUGGUUGCCAAUGGCAGAGUACUGGUAUAACACAAAUUUCCAUUCUUCUGCUAAGUUCACUCCAUAUGAAAUUGUCUAUGGGCAGCCGGCCCCUCUUCACAUUCCAUACCUACCUGAGGCCACAACAUGUGCUUCCGUGGAUAGGAGCUUACAAGCUAGGGAGAAGGUCAUUCACUCCUUGAGACAUAAUCUGUCCAAGGCUCAACAUCGAAUGAAGCAGUUAGCUGAUAAGCAUAGGUCGGAGAGGGAACUUGCGGUUGGUGACUGGGUUUAUGUGAAACUUCAGCCUUACAGACAGCAUUCCCUACGUUCUCACCACUGUCAGAAGCUGUCACCUCGCUACUUUGGUCCAUUUCAGGUGUUGGCAAGGAUAGGAGCAGUGGCCUACAAGUUAGCUUUACCUUCGCAUGCCCGUAUCCAUGACACAUUCCAUAUCUCCUUGCUCAAAAAGAAGGUUGGCACAGGGGGCACUCAAGCUCAGAUUCCCGCAGGAAUUACACACCAAGGACAGAUGUUGGCAGAGCCCAUAGCUGUUCUUGACAGACGUCUGGUCAAGCGUGGGCGAGUUGCGGCUACACAGGUGCUGGUUCAAUGGAGUAACAGCUUUCCCGAAGAUGCAACUUGGGAGUACUUGCAGGACUUGCGGCUACAGUUCCCUCAUUUCAAUCCUUGAGGACAAGGAUUGUUUUGAGAGGCGGGUAUUGAUACACGUGAACGGGGUUACGUAAGUUUAGGGGCUGCAUGUGCGUGCAUGGGGUUUGCAUGGAGGGCCACAGCUGGGUUUUGUUGCAGUUAGUUACUGAAAGUUGUUACAGUUAGUUAGUACUGAUUUGUAAGAUUCUUAUGACAUCAGCAGAUGUCAUAAGUUUGUUAGCCGGUUAUAAGCUCACCGUCUUAGCACUUAUAAAAGGCGAAGAUGGGCACCAGUAGAAGACAGACAAAAUCUGGGAAAUUUGUUAUAUCGGCACUUUCCAUUUCUUCUGUAAUCUUUCCUUCUUUAUUCAAGUCAAUAAAGUUCUCUUGGCUUUCGGAUUACUUCUCCGCCAGUUUUUGUAAUUCCUAAGUCAGAGAUUGAGGACCUCUACUGUCCUUUGCAUCAGAGUUGCUGGUGCAAGGUAACGGGGAAGGGGAAGGGGGAAGCAAGAAGAAGAAGAGAAGAAGAAGAAGAGAGGAAAGAAAAGGAAAGAAAGAAAAAGAAAGAGAAAGAAAAAAAAUUUUCACCUUACAAAAACUUCUACAAAAAAAAUUUUUCACCUUACAAAAACUUUUACAAAAUUUUUUUAAAAACUUCUACAGUGCACUACAGUAAAGUUUUAGACAAACUUCCAAAAAACUCAGGUUCUAAACAGGCCCUUAGUCUUCCUUGUAAAUUCCUAUUUGGGCUAGUUAGGAUCACAUAACCAGCCUAUCGCCAAGUUGCAACAUUUGGCCCUGUUGAAAGAUUUAAAACCAGACUGAAGUUAAAAAAAAAAAAAAAGCAACAUUUCACAGCCGCAACUUGCUGCAGGAUUACAAGGAAAGGUGCAUAACAUAACUUUUUCGGGGCAAGUUUAGGUAGAAAUGCAGAGAAGUAAUUGUGCAAAUUCAAUUCUUUAGGGACUAACUAACUAUAUACUCGAAAUCUCUUCCAAAUGAAAAUGGCAGUGGUAUAGUUUUUUGGGGGGGCUCUGCAGACCAUGUAUAGUGAGUCUGUCAUCAUCCCUCUGCUCUCCUUCCUUCCUCACCUUCUGUAAGGUAAAGCCUCAGGCUUUUUAGCUUUAGAUGAAUCACAAAAGAUCAAGCCAUUUAAUUUGCACAUUGAGCUCAGACUGGUAAGAGAAAAGGGUUUACGUUUUCUAUUUCCAUUUCUGUCUUUGUCCGGAAAAUGGGGCUAUUUUCUGGACUUUUGGGAAACAAUUGCAUAAGCUUAAUGUUAAUGUGUAAAAAUUGUUAUCACUGCAUACAUGGGUGCAUGUAUACCACCGAUAGUUCCUAGCUUGCUUGCUUUAAUGGUUCAAGACGGUACAUGCAGGGAGUUGGCACCAUAGGGCGAAAAAGACGCUUAUUGAAAGGUAAAGCUGUUACCAGCUGAAGCCAAAAUGCUUCACCAUAUAAAGACGAAGAACCGAAAGUGAGGUAAAGAGGACAAAGGUGAGAAAAGCAAAACAGAGGAACAAGGUUGAAUUAUAUUAGUUUGUACGUUAAAACCUCUAAGCUGCUGGCUCACUUGGAAACAAACAAAUCCACGCAGAGAAACUGCUGUCAUUUCAAACCAUCCCACACUUUCUCAUUCCCCCUUAUUCGGUUUUUGGGGGGGGGGGGGGGGGGGCUCCUAUUGCCUUCUCAAACGACGGCCAACUUUGUUUCAUCCUGGAUGACAUGCAUGGCUUUUGAAAAUUUAGCUGAUGAUCAUAUAGAUAUACCCAUCUAACUCGUUCUUGGCAAAGGAAAAAAAAAAAAAAAAGAGAACAAAAAACACAGACUCGACAAAUUAGUCCAGCGGAAAAAUCAAGAAAGAGGAUCGAAUAGAAGAAAAAAAAAUACAUGUUUGACAUUUUAGUUGCCGCAAAACAGGUAGAGACCUUGGAUACAUACAUGGCCCAUUCUUCUUUUUUUUUUUUUUUUUUUUUUUGUCAUUUCCUAAAGAGAUGGCCUAACCCUAAUAAUUGGAGGAAACAAUGAAUCAGCCACCAAAAAUGAAAAAGUCUUCCCCCGGUGACACCUGUCUCCAUGAGGAUACCUUACAAAACCAUGGCCAUGGCCACGGGAAGUCUAAGAUGGAGACAUCAGCAGGCGCAAAGCACACUUUCUGAUUCAUAUUCCACAAUUGUCAAACUUGUUAUGGUCGUAACCCGGUAAAGGAAAAGGAAGGCAGCAGGGUAGGGUUAGCUAGCUUUUGAGGGCCACACCCUGCAGCAGGGAGGAGCCACAAGCAUAGGUUGCAGCACUAGCACCCUUUGGAAAAUGGUUCCCACCAGCCAAAGUUUUCUCAAAUAUGUCGGUCCAAUGAUAGUCCUAAAUAAGCAUUUGAAUAUGACAGACAGACUGAUCCAACUUCCAGACAAUGGACACAAAUAGAGAGAAGAACAAAGACUCCAAAUUUGAGAACUCUCACCUCAUUCAAACCCGUUGGAAGCACACAAGCAAAUUUUAUCUACACCAGUGACUGCUUAGCAAGAACUAAACAGCAGCACAAAUCAAAAGCAAAAACUUCCAUCAAAAUUGCGUGCAAAUGGAGGCUAUGUUACAUAGGACAGGAUCACAUAAUCUCAGGGGACAUAAUCAUGACCAGUAGUCCAGUACUCGCUAAAUUCUAACAACAAUCGACCUAAGACAAAUUAUCACCCACUAGUUCAUGUAUGCCAUUAUAAUCGCAUUGAACAGAAAGUAAAGGAGUAGAGCAGAUCAGGCAGAAAGGGGAAGUAAGUAGUGACCAGCGAAUCAAACAUGGCCAGGAGGUCAAGGGCCUAAUCUCCUCGUUGUACCUCAACAUUUGUUUUCAAGUUUUAUUGCAUAUGCCACUGCUUAAAACCCAAAUAUAAACCAACUUCCCCAUAUCCAGUGCAACAGUACUAAGCACUCAACAAGUAUUGUAAGCUUUUAUGAUAAGCUUCAAAGCAAAAAGAGACAAGCACAUCCAUUUGUACCUGGGUUUACUUCCAUCUCAAUAAAAGCAGCAGAAGAAAAGUACAAUUAGUUAAGUAACAAGUAACAUCCAUGAUAAGAGAGACAACAAAAAUAAAACAAACAUCAAUAAUAAGAGAAAGACAAUCAGUUCUAAGAAAGCAACAGAAUUUUCACUCUUCACAGAUUGACAUGAAGAUAUAUACUAUGUUGUAUUCAUCAGCACCAUUGAGCAGAGACUGCUAAAAUUACAACUGCACCAGACAGCCUCCACAAAGACGGUCCUUGUAUCACAUUUAAAAUAAAAAAUAUAGGCAUAAUGUCCAUAAUUAGACUGGACAGGACAGGUCAUAGUUAUAUCUGUAAAAAGCCUCCGCAUUUCACUAACUGUUCUCAAUCUCUAAACAACUGCCUUCCUCUUACACAUGUCAAAAUUGCACUCUAGCUUUUCCUUGAAGCAACUACAAGUUAUACAUUUCUACUUCCCAACCCCACUAAUUCAAGGGUGAGCAUGCUUGUGCCCUUAUCUUGUUGAAAAUUUUUUUUAAAAAAAUUAAUAAAAAGAAAACUGAGAAGUCAAAAUUUUAUAUCAUGGAAUAAAUAAAAUAAUCCCACUUUUUACACAUGUACAGGAUGGUAAACAGGCUGACGAUUCCGUCUCUUCACCAAAAUGCAAGUGCAGGACGCUACACAUGCUUCUCGUUCCCAGAGGCAUGCCUGUGCAACACUGGAAGUGCCAAAAUAUGUCAUGUACAAUGUUUGACUCAAUCUCUACUGCGAAUGAAACCUUGCCGACUAAUGGCCCGAAUUGCUAUCUGCACUAAGUGUAGAAGUUCCUCUACAUCCUGGAAGCUGAAGUCAAUAACCCUCUUAACAGCAGCAAUGCCCUCCUUGUUUUGAGAUUCUUCAAGUAUCACACUUGCAGCUGAAAAGGCAUUUUGGGAUUUUCUGGUAGCUUCCAUAGCAGAAUUCACGUCUUUUGCCUGCACAAACAAAAUGUUGUUAGCUGCUGACCACCUGCAGCGUCCUCCAGUUGAACAACUACGGCAUGGUCUAACUCCAUAACAACAAUUAAAGCCAAUACCCUAAAAGCAAAAGCUUCUAUACUUGCAGAUAUCUGAGAAAUCAACCCUAAGUUCAAAAUCAUGUUCAAUUCAUCAGUCAUUUUAAACCAUCAAAUCAUAUGCAAUCCCAAAGACCUAACGAAGCAUUAAUUCAUGUCAGAAUGGUCACUGAAAAUAUCAGAAUAAGCCUUUUUUCCAAAUUUACUAUGUUGGCUGCCCUGUCCAGAAAAGGAACUUUUCAGCUAAAUUAAGUAUUUCAAGUUCAAUAAGUUAGAUGUAACCUCGCAGAUUGCAAUCAAUUAAACAUUAAUAAAUGAGGCAUUAAGAUGGAUGCACGAAUGCAGAAGAUAAUAUAUGAGCAUGAAUAGACUUACGAAAUCAAGCAGCCGGAAAAAGCCUGGGUGGUUUCGAGGAGCAAUAACGUGAUUCCCAGAAUGAGAACCAUUGCUUUUAGCCAAGGAAGCCUUUUCCACCAAUGCUUGAUUGUUCAAGUUGUCAAUAUCAGAUGCAGAAGAUGAAGGAGAUUCACCUAAGCACAAGAUCAGAAAAUCACAAAAUCAAAUAGUAACAUAAACCUGAGUAUAACUGAGGCAAGUUUGCAUGAAAGGAUUAGUCCACAUAUAUGAUACUAGAAUUAUAUCCAAAAUAUUGAGGAUGGCAGUUUCUAUGCAGUGAGAGGCCGCAGAAUGGCAGAGAAAAUUACUUCUUAAGAAUGCAUCAAAUGUUGCGAAUGGCGAAACACAGAAACAGGCUCAGGUGUUCAAAGCUUUCCAGAAACCAGAAGAUACAACAAGCUACAGAGUAAAUUUUAGGAAACCAUGGAGUACAGAACUGCCCAACACAAUCACACUUGGAAAGGGAAGAAGAAGAAAGGAAGAUCCUAGUUGCUGAGGAUGCAUGGUCCACUCUAAUUAGAGUGAAAGCACCAAACAAAUUCUGCAAACAAGAGACUAGAUGGAACAUCCCACCUCGUGAAUAUCCAACAUUGUUAAGCCAAGCAAUAAGAUACAACAAAUGGCCACCGAAUGCCAGAAGAUCUCAGCAGGGUCUAUAUUUUCUAACAUGCAGAUGAUACAAACAUGGCAAAAUGAUUCAAUGUUCACAGGAGGCCUAUAACAUGAGAGGUUUCAGAACAGUCACCGUACCUUGGGGAACAAUCUGCAAACUAGCUUGUAAAUCACGACACAGCCGAUUCGUACUAGUAUUUUUGCAGUAAACCACCCUCAUAUUAGCAACCUCCAUGCAUUUAUAAGCUAAAGCAGCAGCAGCCAUUUCCUGCUGUCUCUCAUAUUCAUGGGCACAGGUUCUGUAGGUUUUGAGAAAUUAUAUCAACUAUCAAGCCACAAAUGAGGGUAAUGAUCAUGCAUGACAUGUUUAACAAAACAGUCCAAGAUUCCUUCAUAUUAAUGAUAUCAUGAUUGCAGAAUUCCUCUAUCGAACACAAGUAAUAGUCAGUGAACAAAAUUCUGCAUUUUACCAGGACAAUUGUUCAAUAACUAGUCAUCUAAGCCCACUUGUUGAGGGUAAAUAGGUGCAAAUCAUUGAAAACAGUAUUUAAUAAUUGGAGUAGAUUAUAUACUGUUUAAUAACAUGAUGUAAAUUUUCUUCAAUGUGUAUGUACCAGGGUAACUAUGUAGGUCAGUCUUCAGACUUGCACUCAUUUUGGAGGGAAGAAAAAGGAAAAGGCAUAACAAGACUACAAGGAUUCUCACACAUGACAUGUAGCAAGAUGAUGUUGAUUUGGGAUAGAACAACAUACCAGUCAAUCAAACAACUCUAGAAGUAUUAGUAGUACUACAUCUACCCAAGAACAACCAGAGUAAAACAACAUCAUGAAAACACAAGACCCAUGACACACUAGAUCAGGGAGUAAACCAUCAAUCAGCUUGAACACUGACUUACUCGCAAAGUUUUGCAGCACUACCAUAAAUCUGCAUUUGAUUCAUCUCUCCAGGUUUGCUAUUCUCAAAGUUGCUCUCCAAAAGAGAAGCAGCAUGAAGAAAUUUUAAGGCUGCUUGGAAGUAUAGCUCAUUACAUUCAAAACUAAAUCCUGAGUCCUGCAAUUAUCAACCAAUAAGACAAGUUGAUGUGCUACUCAUGAACUAGCAAUACAGAGUUCCACAGAAAUUUUACGAAAUCAUGCAGGUCACAAGGACCAGAUAUAAACCUUGAUAUUAUCCGCAUCAUUUCUAAGGCCUUCGGCUUCUUUUAGCACAUCUAAAGGUGCGGUCAACCUAGCGGCAUCCUUUCUUUCCAGACUCGGGCCACUGAGAUCCCAUGCUACAGAUCGACCAGAAGCAGUACUGCCCAUGGCCUGAUGAGGUUCAUUAUGGUGAAUGAUAUUGCGAUGAUCUUUUGAAACCUCUGAUGCAUAAGUGCGGAUGGAAACAUCAUGACCUGGUACUUGCAAUAGACUUCCAUUCUGGGUUCCCGGAGCAGGUUUGCUAGCAAAAGGUAGCACCUCAUGUUCAUCUUCAGGAUGAUGGUCAAUCAGCGACUUCGCAUCACUACGAGCUUUCAAAGCUGAAUUGCUCCUCAAUGCAUCAGAACCCUUGAUUAGGUCUUGUUGCAUGAGGUUAUUUGCAUCCUUGCUGCAAGGAUCACCUAAAUUGACACCUGAUCUCCUGUGCCCUUUAGGUUGCAAUAGGUUCUCUAGACUGCCAUCAAGCAAUUUUCUUGACUCUCUCUUGCUAAUACUCUUGUUACUUUUAACAGAUUGAACUCCAGACUGAUCAACAAAAGGUUGUUUCACAUCACCCAGCAAGACACCUUCAGCUGCAACGUGAUUUUGAUCAAUACCUGUGUCUACACUUGAACUUGUCUUUGGGUUUAAGUCUCCCCGAUCAUUUGGUAGAUCAGAGACAUUCUCUACUGCAUCUUCAGAAUCCAAACCAAAAUUCCUGCCUUUGUCCUUGGGCAGCAGAGAGGAAGCCUUUCGAGAUUUCUUUUGGGGUAAGACAGUAUUAUGCUGGUCCUUGCCAAUCCUGUCUUUGACAGAAAAAGGUUCUGAAGCAUGCCUAUCAGUCAGAUAUGUGCUAUGACUCUCCAAGAUGUCAAGAUGAUCAUUAUCUAGAUAACCAUUUCCAAAAAGUGAAGGUGGUCUACCACCAAGUUCACAUUCCUCACCCAAUUUGCCUCUAGCAUCAGUUUUCCGAAAGUCGAGCAUAUGGUUUUCAGCUAACUCAGGAUUGAGAACAUCAGGAUUUUUCCGCUUCUUAGCUAUCCCAGAUCUCUUGGUCACAUUAUUAACAUCCCCAUCCACAGCUUUUCUGGGGCUUCCUUUUAUGGGAAAACCACCUACUUUGACAUCAUCCAGCUCAAAACCAUCCAAUUUUUCUGGAGACAAUUUGUUCAGACUGGACAUCCUCAUGGGAGAUGAAGAAACUGAUUCAACUGGUGAACCAUUCACUCCUUGAUAACUGUUUCUCUUUUUACGGGAAUCAGAAACCUUUGAUGAGCUUGAUGUGGCAGCUGUUAACACUGGUUCACAUCCCAAAUCCUUUUUCAACGACUCCAAAUCCUCCAUGGUCAGUUGAGAUGUAAUUUUUACUCUGCAUUUGUUUAACUGCUUUGGCUUAUCAAAAUUUCUGUCAAUUGUAUUAUUACAAGCCGAUGGAACCAUUCUGGUGUUCAUGUCUUUUCUUUUCAAUUCAGCACUAGACUUACUUCUACUGGACUCCUUCCCAUCAAUCUGAGACACCCGAAGUUUCUUGUCCCUCCUGAAUCCACUGUCACUGCUCUCCUCCUUCGCAGGCAAAUUUCUGUCAGGGAGUUGACUUCCAUCAUUUUGAAGUGUCUCUGCAUUAUUUUGAGAACUUUGCCAAUCCCUCAGUUUUCUCUUCUUUAAGGAUAUCUCCCCACUAUUGGAUUUCCCCAUCAUAUCCACAUAUCCAUUACCCAAUAAACCUGAUGCACGUUCACUUGGUUUCCUGAGAGAAGUUUGUAAACCAUUCCUCUCCUCCUCUUUUGGAUAAUCACAUUCACUGGGAUUUCGGUUUUCUGUAGGUGCCAAUGUUGGCAAAAUAGUUUUUGACUUGAUGCCUGACCUGCCGAGGCAUGCAGCAGAAGCCUGGAUGUUCUUCGCUGCAGAAGCAGUUUUACUCUUCUUUGAAGGCUCAAUUUCAUGCCUAUCAGUCUCUCUUUUGCUUUUCUUCUUUAGCUUUACAUCACCUACCGAAUAAGUCUGAUGAAAAAAACAAAAACAUACUAAAGCACAGAAAACAACAUUAAGAUAUAAGAUGAUGACAAACCUCCAGUUACAUGCUUCUGUUUCUGUCUAUUCGAAUGCUUUUCCACUGCAAUUUCUGACACAGUAAUGGAUCUAUUAACUGGUUUAACUCCCAAAGAAGACUGCUUCAUAUCUUUUGAACUUCCCCUUUUCACCAGAUCCUGUUCAAAGUUUUUUCCCUUGCUGCCAGUAAAAGAUGUUUCUUUUAUUUUAUGAGCCUUCUUUCUUCCACUAGCCUUGUAAUCAAAACCAACAUUCUGGUGGCUCUGAUUUAGGAGCUGUACGUCAACUGCAUGUGCUCCAGUUGCAGGCCUAUCAGCAUGAUUUUGAAUCCAAUGUUGGUUCUCUAAAACAGGAAACUGAUAUGAAGCAUAGAGAGCCUUCGUUGUCUCCUCCUCACUAAUGUCACAAUGGUUCAUUCCAGGCCUAUAUAUUAAUGAAAUAAAACUGGUUAAUAUCAGGCCUAAAGAUUAAUUUAAUUAGAUUGUUACUCAGGCUUUAGUAGGUUCUUGUAUAUCUACCAUAUACACACACAUUGCAGAAUUUUGAAGCAAAACACAUUAUUUGCACAUUCAGGAGAAAAUUACAGAAAACAGACAAAAAAUAGUGGUUUUUCUAAUCCGUAGUUCCUCAUGCGCAAUAUGUGACUUCAAGAAAAACUAAAUUGAUUUGACAAUACAAACCGCAAAAUGCAACAGAAAAGAACUUACAGCCAGUUCAGCAUGCUGCACAGCCACUUCUCCGGCAGAUCUUCAGGCUUUGUACCAUAAGGCAGGAGACGCCAGGCCUGACAUUGGUCACAUUGGACCCAAUUUUCCUCUAUGAGAGCCAUUGUAGCCUGUUCUGUGACCAGUGUCGGCCCAUUAUUUAUAGGAAGACUGUCAAUUGGAGGAUCAUUCAGUAAUGUUUCAGAUAUCACCUGGUCAUCAAAUUUACUACCCCUUGGCUUCCCUUUUGGUCUAUCACCAUAUGGCUGCUUUUCUUUCAGAGUCUCAACAUUUGAGUCCUUCAAUCUGUUGACAGAUGAAUUCUCCAACACAUCCACUCGUGCUGAGUUUGUCUCAAACAAAUCUUUAUAGGUAUCACGAACCUUAUUUGCAUCCCUCUUAGUAGCCUUUUGUCUCGCCACAGCAGAAAUACCAGCCCUUGUACUUUCUUCUGCUGAAUCCACAAACUGCUUUCCUCUAACUUGAGCUCCCUUUAACUUCUUUUUACUUUCUGAUGAAAACUUCUUUGCAGAUACAGGCAUCCUUGAUUGAUCUUCUUCAUGGGUAGUUCUAGCACUUAAUUUCUGUAUCGAGUGAUCAAUACCCCCUUUAGUAUCUCUUUCACUUUGAGAUGUAUCAGAAUCAGCUUUGAGUGAAGCAGGAACCUGGUUAGCUUUGUUCCCUAUGCCUUCAAGUUUAUCAACUGGAACAUCCUUCUGGGAACUUUUUACGUGGUUUUUCGUAAUCCAGUCCAAUGAGCAGCUUUUAUCUUCUUGAUGCUCAAUCUUACUAUCACUUAGGCCAGACAUUGAUCCAAAGGACUCAUCCUUGACCAGCUCAGUCACCGACAAUCUGCCCUUGGCUUUGUCCUUGGUAUCCUUCCUCUUCUUUAAGGUGGCACCAUUUUCAUGCUCCCCAAAAGCUUCAAGCGCCUUAGCUGAGUCCUUAAAUGAGUCCUUGAUUUGCGGCACCUCGGCUCCAGGGUUUUCCUUUAAGCGGGAGAGCAUAUGAUCCUCAAAAGCCAUUUGAUUCCUGCAUUUUGAUUCAUUAUAUUUUUUACUCUUCCCAACAGCUUUGCUUUGCUUCCUUGUCAGUAGAACCUCAUUGCUUAACCUGGAGGUGGAAUCAUCCACAGAUGUGGUAGAAUGGUUAUGCUUUAACUUGAUCGUGGCCUCAGGCUUAUUACUUUCCAUUGGUAUGUUACUUAUUAAAUUAAUAAAAGUGGUAUGAAGAGGUGAAAGAAGCAGGCCCCCAGCAAUGGUCAAGGAAGUCAGCAUCUGUCCAUGUUAUGCAAGCAAACAACCAAUUGAAAGGACAGAAAAUGAGAUCGACACUGUAAGAACAUACAAAAUAUACAAAAAUUUAAAAAAAAAAAUUGUGGCUUCUGGAAGUACCUUAAGAAUGCAGGACGAAGAUUCAUCAGAAGUCUCUUGAGAUUCCAAUAGAUUUCCUCCACUUCCUCCAGGACUGUUACCCGUCGAAGAAGAUGGAGAUGUUAAACCAAGACCACUGUAGAUUGCAGCAUUCUUUUGUGGGACUUUGAUCCGAAAUUUCAGUGGUUUUUGAUCACUUGGAUUAAGUGACUUAUUUGUGGAUGGUUGACGUCUUGUGGGAAAUUUAUCAGUAACUUGGACAGAAGACAAGCAGGAAUCUUGUCUCGAUCCGUCUCCUGACUGGACCACCUUUUCGUGUGACAAAUGGACUCCACGGCUAGCAGCUGUUCCAUUUCUCUGAGACAAAGGCAGAUCAGGGGGAGCAGUUGCAUUUUGUACAGCAACCUGUUUUGCAACACAAUUCAAGGUGCUAAAUGGAAAGAGAACUACCAAAAAUUUAGUAAUUCAUAUUUCAGCCAUAUGCCUCAUUCCCCAGCAAAUAAUUAGAAAGGGAAAGAACAAAACUUGCCAAUGUACCUCCCUACACAUAGGAGAUUUUGUUGUGGUGUGAAUUUGAACUCUUUGAGGACUCUUUGGCUGUGACCAAAUUGAAGGUGAGCGUUGGUAUGUAGGCAGGAAAGAACCAUAACCACCAAACUUCGCCCCUGAUAAAGUAAUUGAAUCAAUCUCAUCACUUUUAGAACAGAAAGAAGAACCUUAAACUUCUUCUUUGUCAUAUAAAGUUCCAAUUCUGCUAUACUCACCUAAGUUUUCAGCAGAAACUCCUCCUUCAAAAUAUUUCUGAAAAUGGCCUAGCACACUUUGGACCUUCUCAUCCUUCAGAAAAAGGAAUGAAAGGAUCAGGACAGGAAAUGCAUUUUUGGGAAAAAUAUCAGAAGUGCAGCAGAAAGAACACAAAAAAACUGUGAUAACACUCCUGACAAAAAUAAUCAAUGCUCCAUGACAACGAAUGACACCCACACACACGAAAAAAAAGAGAAAAAAAAAAAAAGACAAUCUGAAACUUGUGAAUUGUGUCCCGAAGGAAAAAUAUGCGACACGCAUCAUAUAUUAGAUUUUGAAGACCAGUGAUGACAAACAAUAAUGGUACCUAGGAGCAGGUAGAAGUUGGCAUGGAGAGAAUCACGAAAUUAGAUUGAUUAAUAACGUGGCAAACAAUCAGUAUGAAAGUUACAAACAUGAACCUCACCCCAAAAUUCUAAUCAAUUGUAAACUUUAUAAUUAGAAAGCAAAACAACACACAUUAGAAUAUUAAUGAAACCAUAGCAGCACAUCAUAAUGUCUGAAGCCCCAAUGUAGAAACUAAAAUUUCCUCAAUCCAUGGAACUUUGCACAAUUUCCAAUUAAAAUGCUAUAAAGCACAUGCCUUGAGGUAAAUGUGCAAUGAAACUCCAUCAAAAUUUUGUCUUUUUUCAAAAUUCCCCCUUAUACUUGCUACAUUUCAUUUGGAAAUAAAUGAUCAACCAUACUUGCUGUACAGCAGAAUCCAUCUAUGCUCUAAGACAAACAGAUGUUACUUAAUCUUCUAGCAUUUUGUAUCACAAUUCUAGUUAUCAUUAUCAAUUACUCGUCCAAUCCAAUAACUAAAUUGUUAAUUGAGCUUCCAGCGAUAAAACUCAAUGCCACCAUGUUGUUUUUCUCCUUGCUAGUCAAGUCUGCAAAUGUUGAGUUAUAUAUGUUUUUUAUUUACCUAUGAAGCUAAAAACAAUAACUUCAGUACAAAUUAAUCCACAAAAUCUGAUUUACACAGAGUAAAGAACAGAACAGAGCUCUUACAAGGUAAGAAAAAGCUAUCUCAGGAUCGAUGCUUGUAUCAUCAUCAUAAGCCUCCCCUUCUUCAAGCUCAGCCUCCAUUUUUGGAGACCCACCUCCCCAAACCAUCCCUUCUCCACACACCCUACCUCUACCCCCGACCUAUGAGGAACCUACCUUUACAGCUUUACUCCCGUAUUCCCAAAACCCUAACCCUAAAUUCACCCGUUAUCCUGAAGUCUAGCAUAAUCAGUAAACAAUCCAAAAUUAAAAAAUACAACUCUAGCCCACAAAAAUUCUCCAAAAACCCACAAAAUCCCUCCAAGGAAUUGCUCUAUAGCUUCCGGGAUUUGCCACCAGGACAAACCCCACCAAACCUACCUGAUCAUAUUUAUAUAAAUGUAUAUAAACUACUAUGUAUAUUCCUGCGAAGAGCAAAUGUAUACAGAAAGUAACAGAAAAUGCGUGAAUUGAAAUCACUGCUAAUAAUCAGAAGACUGAGUGCUUUGAAGCAUCAAUCGCUGCAGCGACGGAAUUGAUUCUGAAUUUAUAAAUAUUUUUCUUUUUCUUUUUUUUCCCCCCCUGCCUUGGUUAUGUCUGAUGUGUAUAUGUUGUGUGUAUGGAGACACAGCACGGAGAGAGAAAGGAGGCCGUGUUGUUGUAUUCUGUUUUCUUUUUCUUGUCUUCUCUUUUCUUUCUUUCUUCCGCAUGUGUUAUAAUAUGGGCUUUUAUUUUCCUAACUCCCCUUUGUUUACUUUUCCAUUUAGCAAUAUUGCUUAUUUUACAAAUAUUCUUUUGCCUUUGGCCCAAAGUAAUUAAACAUGUUUUCCCUUUUUUUUUUAUCUUUAUUUUUCUUAUUAGUUUCCGCGCUUAUUUGUACUCAAAGUUUCCCAAAAUUAGCAGCUACAUCGUCACAAAUUACGUAAAAAAGCUAAAAGCUCGUAAAUUUGGAUGAAUAUCUAUAACAAAAAGAACUCGUUGAUAUACCUAAAUACUUCUGGUAUUAAGUUGUCCCUCAGAAAUUAUCAAAAUUAGCAAACAUGCAAUCGCAAAUUAAAAUUUGAAUGAGUUUUGAAUCAGUAGUAUCUCAAAAUAAAAGAGCUCGUGAAUAUAGUUAAACAUGAAUUGUCAUUGCGACAAAAAAAAAAUGUUAGGUACAGUAAUUAUACUACAUCAAAACGAUGUUCAUAACUAUUUAACAAGAUUGAGCAAAUAUUAGGGGGGAUUGUAAAAAUUUUAUUGAACUUUAAUCUCUUUAUACAUGAUUUCUUGUGGAAUAUAUGGUUCUGUCUGGUUCGUGGAGGGAGAAUAUGUUGGUUUUGACUGGUGAGCGUAUAGUAGUGUAUCAUGCAUAUGAUAGCUAAAAUCCAAUAAGAAUGGGAAUGGCAGGCAUCUUCAGAGUCUCUCCUAGAAAAAUAACAAUACUGAUCUGAUGCUGAUUUUUUUUUUUUACUCCACCAGGGUUAGGGUUGGAUUCAUUUUGAAACUGUAACACGACCAGUUACUGUUAGGCCCAUAAUUGAAAAUCUACAUUCAGCUCAAAUAUCCCACACCAAACCUCCAUCAAAACCUCAAUAAAUCAAAGCCCAAGCAGUUAACUUGUUUGGAGCUCACAAGACUAAGUAGAGAGCAAAAGAAGCCUCUCUCGCCCUUCGCCAGAACUCUCAAGACAAUUGUUUUAAAAUUUUCUGCUAAAUGUUGCAUUUGGAUUUUGUUUGUCUAUUUGAAGAGAACAACAUUUGGAGUAACUAAAUUCCCAUAUUUGAUUGUUUUCUUUUAUAAAAAAAAAACCAAACAUUUUCCCUCUCUCUCUAUCUCUCCGAGCAGCAAAAAGAAAAACAAAUAUCAAUAUAUUCUAUUAACUACAAAAAUAUAUUCCAAAAAACCAAAGAAAUUAACCUUGAGCAAAUAAAUUAUGAUGUGACAAGGACGCCAUAAAUUAAGAAGAGUCCAUUUACCAUUUACGAAAAAAUCACGAGAUUUAUAGGCGGGCGAUAAAUACAAAUAUAAAAUUCUUAGAAUCAAGAGCGUUGACUGUCCUUUUAUUUUUUUUUUUCGUUAAGUUGUUUAGUACAUAAUUUUCCAUAAAUCAAUACACUAUUUUUUCAUAAUCAAACUAGCAUGAUCAUUGACUGUAAGCUAUCUUAUAGUAGAUUCCUACACUAAUUGUUAGGCAAGUAUUGAUACC